UAGAGUUUGAUUCCCUGGCUCAGAACGAACGCUGGCGGCGCGUAUUAAGCAUGCAAGUCGGACGGGGUGUCUUGCCGCAAGGUGAGGCACUCAGUGGCGAACGGGUGAGUAACACGUAGGUGAUCUAUCCCCGGGUGGGGUAUAGCCCAUGGAAACAUGGGGUAAUCCCGCAUGAGGUCUUGAAGCUGUAGCUUUUGGAUGAAAGGCGCAAUUGGGUCGCCUGGGGAUGAGCCUGCGGCUCAUUAGCUAGUUGGUGGGGUAAGGGCCCACCAAGGCGACGAUGGGUAGCCGGCCUGAGAGGGUGUACGGCCACACUGGGACUGAGACACGGCCCAGACUCCUACGGGAGGCAGCAGCUAAGAAUCUUCCGCAAUGGGGGAAACCCUGACGGAGCGACGCCGCGUGGACGAAGAAGGCCGCAAGGUUGUAAAGUCCUUUUGCAGGCGAAGAAUGAGGAGGAGAGUGGAACGCUCUUCCGAUGACGUAGCCUG
rnacentral:rRNA from 1 species